rnacentral:lncRNA from 1 species
CACAUGGGGAGACCACAUGGAGAACUAACUUGCCUCUGUCAAUCCCAUAUGAUCUCCCUGCCAAGUGCCAGCAUCAAAUGCCAACCAUGAUUGUUUUAAGUCCUCAUUGGGCAUUUUAAGUUCUGUUUGAAAGAGCUGCAUCACAAUUCUUAUAAAGGACUUGUUGAAUCAUAAGCUGUUUCCUUAAGCACCAGUUAUGUGGGGGACCUUGUGCCAGGCACUGGGCCACAUAAAUGAGAAUCACAAGGACCAGGAUUAAGAAAAGACAGGCUCCAGUGUGACUCAGCACAGUGUUCACAGCCCAUGCUCUCAAGAAUCUCAGCUUAGGAGGAGGCAAAGAGCCGCUCUACAGUAAGGUAAAUAAGUCAUUUAGUCAGGAACUCUGCACAUUUACCUCUGCAUUUAUCAAAUAUUUGUUGAAGGAAAUAAUAAAAGAAGUGAGGAGGAAGAAGAGGUUUCCUGGGUUUUUUUAAUGUGUGAGAUUGGAAGAAAUCUUGUGAGUAAUCAUGAAUUUUAGGAAUCCCAGAAGGGAGCAAAGAAGAUUCUGAAAAAAAGAGAAAUACUUCUCUGAGUUGGAAAUUGGUUAAAUUUAGUGAUGUUUGAGCCUCAGCUUACAUUGGAAAUCACUAACUACUUUUAAAUUACUUUUGGUUUUGGACCCUGUUUCUUGCUCUGGGACUACACAAAAGGACUGAGCCAAGACAGGAGCAGGAAUUUGGCUUGCCAUUUAUUUAAUUUAUAUUUUAUUGUCUGCUAAAAAUUGAAUGCGUUUCAGAGCAAGAUAGAAGAGGAGUACAUCUCAAAUGCUUUUGAAGUUACAUUUCCAAAGUGAGGUCCCAGCUGGAAGUAUAAAUGGUUCUCCAAUUUUGCAGAUGGAAUUUUAUCCAAUAUUCAGAUGUAUAAUCUGCUUCAAGUAUGUACACAGGGGAAGUAAUAAGAGUACUGUGAAUUCUCAACUGACCAUUUUCUGACACAUUAAAGAAAUAGCAAAGCACUUAUCUCUGAAGUCUCACUUUUUAAAUAUGUUACAAUGAAUUGUGAUCCUGUUUUAUGUAUCUGACUGACAGCACUGGGAAUUAAGUUCCUCAGCCAAUGAAAUAAUAAACCCAAUGCCACGAUAAAACCUACGGUAGAGACUGAUAAGGACUCCAGAUCCAGGCUGCUAAUACUCUUCAAAGUCAUUCAGCUGUGGCUACUACAUGAUGUCUGAGUGUUUCCACAAGGCACUGUUUUGGACAUUGGGAACAUCGAAGUAGAGUGAGCAUCAUCAUGAAUGGAAACACUUUCUCUGAAAAAAGACAUAAAACAAUUGAAAGUCAGCAGUGUCUUUCUUGCAAAAUAUUAUGAAGAUCAGGACAAUUAGAAUUAGGUAUACUCCAAUUCCAUUUUAGAAUUUGCAAUAGAGAAGGUGCUUUGGGAAUGGAAUUAAAUGAGCUGAUUCAUGUAAAGGGAUUUAACUGGGUGCCGGACCUGUCAUAAACUCUUAACGUGAACAGGAGAGUUACUGUAAAAACUGAGACAACAAAACAGCCGGAGGCAUGAAAAGAAAAAGAAUCCCGCAUGAAUAGCUUGCUAUAUGUAAUUUGGUUAGGAACAAUUCACAGGUUUUGACAGCUUUAUUAGAGUUCCAUUUUAGUAAGAUUCAGGUGAAAGUGAGGUCAUCACUUUAAAACAAAAAUCCUGAGAACAUACCCAGAUGGACUCACAUAAAUGAUGUAUACUAAUGUCGUCAAGUAAAUAUUUUAAAGAGUUAAUUGCUUUCUUUAUUAAAAACUGGAUUUAAAUACUCCAUUAUUUCAUAAGAAUAAAACAACUACAACACCGCCACAACAUAAAAAGUGUUUACCUUAAUGUAUUAUGAACACCAGCAGUGAGUUCCAGUAAUAUCUUGCACUUCUGAAGAUGUGUAAGUAUACUAAGGAACAUGCUUAACUUAGAACUCACUAAUGGAAGUUACAGAGAUUUAUUCAGAUCCAUGUUAGCAUGCUUGAUACCCUUAAGCACACUAACAAUAUACAGCAUCUGCUUUCAGGGAUGUUUUUACCUCUUGUACUAGUUUCAGAAAGCCCAUGUCUGAAUAAUUCCUAAGUAAUGGUUUUUUAGCUUACUCUAUAAUUUUGAUUUUGAGCCUGACUAAAUAAAACCUUUUUAAAUAGACAGUGGUUUUAUUAUUAUUCUUAUUUUACUGAUGCAAACAAUCAAGGUAUGUGCAGUAAGAUGUCUUACCAAAUGUCACCCAUUUAGUAUGAGGCUAAGCUGGAUUUCAAAUGCUAAAUUUAUUCCUCUUACCAUCUUCUGCCUCCCAUAAUGAAGACUAAUUAUCUUUGUGUUGCAAAUGUAGAUUUAUAAGUGCCAAUUAAUAGAAAUUAAAUCCUGGUCAAAAUCCCACUAGAGAAUAGACUUUCCUGCGUUUAUCAAUUCAGCUUCAUUCUCUCUCACUAAAGACUGACUGGUUUAAAGGUUAAAGCCCGUCAGCCCCUGAAACUAAGUGAUAACCAAUCCGUAGAUCAGUGUCAGCUUUAUUAUUAUUCUUCACCAGACACCCCUAAUCAUUUUCUGUGUCUGACAUUUGAAUCCCUGCACAAAAACAAUUUGCACAACUUUAAUCCCCCCUCCCAUUUAAUCCAUCACAUACUGUGACACCUGAUAGUCCCACUGUGAGCAGCCUGUGAAAUAUGUCAGCUUUAUCUCUGAUUUACACUGGAUUCUGCUAACAAUAAAUGCCAUUGCUGAAUGUAUUCUAACCUCUCUAGACUUGCAAGAUUGAAGUAAGUGUCAUUUUCUUUUCGUAAUCAGUGCCUUUUUCUUAGAUGAACACAGAGAACAGUGAGUAUGGAAGUAUCCAACAGUUCAGAGAUGAUUUUAACAAUUUAUGCUACCAAAAUCUGUAGUUUGAUGAGUACAUAAGAGGUAUGAUAAAAUAUUGUUUUCCUGUUUCAACCACAUGUUGGUCUUACCUAGGCUUCAUCUAUAUCCUUUUGUUAUUGGCUUUCUUUGGAAAAUUAGUAUCAACUUUAAACUUUUUGCUACAAUAAUUCACAAAAGAUCCUAUAGGUAGAUGUUAUUUCAGGAACAUAAAUAUCCUGUUGAAGCUAAAAGUGGUGGUAAUAUCUGAAGACUGAUAGCAUUAGGAUAAUAUAGAGUAGUGGUAGGCUUGGGAGAAAGACUUAUAUGGGGA